rnacentral:tRNA from 1 species
GCACCCGUGGUGAAAUUGGCAUACACGCAAGAUUCAGGUUCUUGUGCCGCAAGGUGUGUGGGUUCGACUCCCACCGGGUGCACCA